rnacentral:tRNA from 1 species
GCGCCCGUAGCUCAGCUGGAUAGAGCGUUGCCCUCCGAAGGCAAAGGUCACACGUUCGAAUCGUGUCGGGUGCGCCA